GGGUCAGUAGGUUGGUCGUGCCACCGGUACGUACUGGCCUCACUGAUUCCUCCUUCCUGAAGAACCGUAAUGCCAUUAAUUUGGUGUUGCGGGGAAACAGGACUGUUACUUUGAAAAAAUUAGAGUGUUUAAAGCAAGCUAACGCUUGAAUACAUUAGCAUGGAAUAAUGAAAUAGGACGAUCGAUCCUAUUUUAUUGGUUUCUAGGAUUGACGUA
rnacentral:rRNA from 1 species